UACCUUUGUCAUGGUGUGUUUUCAGAGUA
rnacentral:piRNA from 1 species